rnacentral:rRNA from 1 species
UACGUAGGGUGCAAGCGUUGUCCGGAAUUAUUGGGCGUAAAGAGCUCGUAGGCGGUUUGUCGCGUCGAAUGUGAAAACCCGGGGCUCAACCCCGGGCCUGCAUUCGAUACGGGCAGACUAGAGUUCGGUAGGGGAGUCUGGAAUUCCUGGUGUAGCGGUGAAAUGCGUAGAUAUCGAGAGGAACACCUGCGGCGAAGGCGGGUUGCUGGGCUGGAUACUGACGCUGAGGCGCGAAAGCCAGGGAGCGAACGGG